GCUAGAACGAACGCUGGCGGCGCGUUUAAGCAUGCAAGUCGAGCGGCAAGGGCCUUCGGGCCCUAGAGCGGCGGACGGGUGAGUAACACGUGGACAAUCUGCCCCCCGGCCCGGGAUAGCCCAGGGAAACCUGGAUUAAUACCGGAUGAGACGGGACCCGCGAUGGCGGGACCCGGGAAGGCGCUGCGGCGCCGCCGGGGGAUGAGUCUGCGUCCCAUUAGCUAGACGGCGGGGUAACGGCCCACCGUGGCGACGAUGGGUAGCCGGCCUGAGAGGGUGGACGGCCACAUUGGAACUGAGACACGGUCCAGACUCCUACGGGAGGCAGCAGCUAAGAAUCUUCCGCAAUGGGCGAAAGCCUGACGGAGCGACGCCCGCGUGAACGAAGAAGGCCGUGAGGUUGUAAAGUUCUUUUCGGGAGGGGGAACAACCGUGGCAGGGAAUGGCCGCGGGAUGACGUGAAUCCCGGAAUAAGCCCCGGUUAACUACGUGCCAGCAGCAGC
rnacentral:rRNA from 1 species